GUCAAAACUCGCACCUUUCUGGCCCAAAGAAGGUCGGCGGGCGAUCGACCCGCGUCCACAACGAACGUGUUCACUGCCCGCAAGGUGUGUCCAGAAUUUCCUGUGGUGAUGAACAAAUUGAUAGGCGGUCACAAAACAAGAAACCUGAAAGAACCCAACUUUAAAAAAAGACCAACACCCAAUGUGCAGAGAGCGAGAAGAAAAAUACAAAUCAUGCAAACAAUAAAAGCAAGCAACGGCAUUCAGAGCAAAAUGGAUUCCAUAGACCAGAAGCCUGGAACAGCCAAAGUAGACCCAUAGCUUCAGUCUCCGUUCAUCGCACAGUGAGGAAAAUUGCUGAAAAGCUCACAGGUAUGGAACCUGGAGCAGCCGGAGCAGUCUCACAACCUCAGCCAAAUAAGAAUAGUUUGCAUGCAUGUAAUGUUCUGAUGGCUGAAGAAGCUCGGCAUGACUCUCCAAAUCCACAGGACUUUCUACAGGGGCACAAUUGAGAGCAUCCUGACUGGCUGCAUCACUGUCUGGCAUGGGAACUGUACUUUCUUUGAUCGCAGGACUCUACAGAGAGUGGUGCGGACAGACCGGUGCAGCAGUGAUGUAAACUUCCCACUAUUCAGGCCAUCUACAGUGACAGGUGCGUAAAAAGGGCCUGAAGGAUCACUGGGGACCCGAGUAACCCCAACCACAAACUGUUCCAGCUGCUACCAUCUGGGAAACGGUACAAUUGCAUUAAAGCCAGGUCCAGUAGGCUCCAGGACAGCUUCUUCCACCAGGCCAUCAGACUGAUGAAUUCAUGCUGACACAAAAGUAUUUCUAUGUUGUAUUGACUGUCCUGUUGUGUAACUUACUGUACAUACUAUUUAUUACAAAUUACUAUAAUUUGCACAUUGCACUUUCAGAUGGAGACGCAAUGUAAAGAUUUUUACUCCUCAUGUAUGUGAAGGAUGUAAGAAAUAAAGUCAAUUCAAUUCAAUUCAAGCUCACCAAAAAUCUUCGCAAAGAACGAUAAUCAACUUUGGAUAUGAAGAUUUAGAAGGAACAGCUGCUAA